AAUCGGAUGGCCAACAGAUGGAGACAAUAAUGCAAACUUAAAGGCUGCCCAGAGAUUCAACCAAGGAUUCAUGACUCACAUUUCAGGUGGAAAGGGGACUCCAAUGAGACCUGGCCCUAUAGAUGCUUACCUGUUUAGCCUGAUCGAUGAGGAUGCAAAAAGCAUCCAGCCUGGUAACUUUGAACGCCAUUGGGGAAUAUUUUACUUCGAUGGUACGCCUAAAUACAAUCUUUCCCUGGCUGCAAACAAUGGAGGCUUAGUACCAGCAAGCGGUGUUCGUUACCUGGCUCGCCAGUGGUGCGUGCUGUUGCCCUCGGCCAGUCUUGAUGAUCCACAGCUAGCUGAUAGUGUGGGCUAUGCAUGUUCAGCCUGAUCGACGAGGACGCAAAAAGCAUCCAGCCUGGUAACUUCGAACGCCAUUGGGGAAUAUUUUACUUCGAUGGUACGCCUAAAUACAAUCUUUCUCUGGGUGCAAACAAUGGAGGUUUAGUACCAGCAAAUG
rnacentral:lncRNA from 1 species